CCCUUUUCCACUCCGGUCUCUCUUGAUAUGGCUUCCAUUUCCAUUGCUUGUUGAAGAUGCUUAUCUCUCGGCCGUUGCCCGGCGAGAAGGCCCGCAAGAGGAAGAAGCACCGGAAACAGCCGUAGCAGUAGCUCCUCUUCUCCAACAGCCGCAGCAGGACAACACUCUCCACAUGGGCAGGGACAACACGCUACUUGUUUGAUGAAAUGCUUUAGCCAAAUCCUUUUUUGGAUGAAACCAUGCUAUCAAUUGGACUUGAGACCACCUUUCUCAAUUGGGAUCAGCAGCCAAGUCAAUGUUACAAAGACAACUGGUCUGGAAAUCUGGGAAGAUAUAGUGUUCAUGGUGGAUAUGUUUAUUGCAGGCAUUGGAACUGGUGAAACUAUUUCUGGCGUUGGCUAUUUUCUGAAAGACAAAAAUCCUAACAUAAAGGUAUAAUAUGAU